rnacentral:rRNA from 1 species
AUUGAAAGCUGGCGGCAGGCCUAACACAUGCAAGUCGACCGAGUGGCGGACGGGUGAGUAAUGUCUGGGAAACUGACCGAUGGAGGGGGAUAACUACUGGAAACGGUAGCUAAUACCGCAUACCAUCGGAUGUGCCCAGAUGGGAUUAGCUAGUCGGUGGGUUAACGGCUCACCUAGGCGAAGAUCCCUAGCUGUGCUGUGAGGAUGACCAGCCACACUGGAACUGAGACACGGUCCAGACUCCUACGUGAGGCAGCAGUGGGGAAUAUUGCACAAGGGUCGCAAGCCUGAUGCAGCCAUGCCGCGUGUAUGAAGAAGGCCUUCGGGUUGUAAAGUACUUUCAGCGAGGAGGCGUUAUUCGCAGAAGAAGCACCGGCUAACUCCGUGCCAGCAGCCGCGGUAAUUC